GGAAAUCAAACUCCGAAUACCAAAAGCGAGUCCGGGAGAUAGACAGCGGGGGCUAAGCUUCGUUGUCGAGAGGGGAACAGCCCAGACCGCCGAUUAAGGUCCCAAAUUUUAUGCUAAGUGAGUAAGGAAGUGAUGAUUCUAAGACAGUUGGAAUGUUGGCUUAGAGGCAGCAAUCAUUUAAAGAGUGCGUAACAGCUCACCA
rnacentral:rRNA from 1 species